CACGGGGGGAGCAAGCGUUGUUCGGAAUUACUGGGCGUAAAGGGCUCGUAGGCGGCCAACUAAGUCAUACGUGAAAUCCCUCGGCUUAACCGGGGAACUGCGUCUGAUACUGGAUGGCUUGAGUUCGGCAGAGGGGGGUAGAAUUCCACGUGUAGCAGUGAAAUGCGUAGAUAUGUGGAGGAACACCGAUGGCGAAGGCAGCCCCCUGGGUCAAGACUGACGCUCAUGCACGAAAGCGUGGGGAGCAAACAGG
rnacentral:rRNA from 1 species